GUUGUGAGGUUAAGCGACUAAGCGUACACGGUGGAUGCCCUGGCAGUCAGAGGCGAUGAAGGACGUGCUAAUCUGCGAAAAGCGCCGGCGAGGUGAUAUGAACCUUUGACCCGGCGAUGUCCGAAUGGGGAAACCCAGUGCAAUUCGUUGCACUAUCGUUAACUGAAUACAUAGGUUAACGAGGCGAACCGGGGGAACUGAAACAUCUAAGUACCCCGAGGAAAAGAAAUCAACCGAGAUUCCCCCAGUAGCGGCGAGCGAACGGGGAGGAGCCCAGAGUCUGAAUCAGUUUGUGUGUUAGUGGAAGCGUCUGGAAAGUCGCACGAUACAGGGUGAAAGUCCCGUACACGAAAAUGCACUUGCUGUGAACUCGAAGAGUAGGGCGGGACACGUGGUAUCCUGUCUGAAUAUGGGGGGACCAUCCUCCAAGGCUAAAUACUCCUGACUGACCGAUAGUGAACCAGUACCGUGAGGGAAAGGCGAAAAGAACCCCGGCGAGGGGAGUGAAAAAGAACCUGAAACCGUGUACGUACAAGCAGUGGGAGCACCCUUCGGGGUGUGACUGCGUACCUUUUGUAUAAUGGGUCAGCGACUUAUAUUCUGUAGCAAGGUUAACCGAAUAGGGGAGCCGAAGGGAAACCGAGUCUUAACUGGGCGUUAAGUUGCAGGGUAUAGACCCGAAACCCGGUGAUCUAG
rnacentral:rRNA from 1 species